GUGCUUGCUUCAGCAGCACAUAUACUAAAAUUGGAAUGAUAUGGAGAAGAUUAGCAUGGCCCCUGCACAAGGAUGACAUGCAAAUUCAUGAAGCAUUCCAUAUUUUU